AUGUUCGUAGGAAUCCUCAAUAGGGACGGGAAUACCCUUUGGGCUUUAUAUUUAUCAGACACAUUCGGUUAAGGCUAUUCAUUUCGAUAAAUCUAACCCAAUUUUUUU
rnacentral:ncRNA from 1 species